rnacentral:tRNA from 1 species
GGCGGGAUGGAGCAGAUGGUCAGCUCGCGAGCCUCAUAAGCUCGAGGUCGUAGGUUCGAAUCCUACUCCCGCACC